rnacentral:rRNA from 1 species
GAUGAACGCUGGCGGCGUGCCUAAUACAUGCAAGUCGAGCGAACGGACGAGAAGCUUGCUUCUCUGAUGUUAGCGGCGGACGGGUGAGUAACACGUGGAUAACCUACCUAUAAGACUGGGAUAACUUCGGGAAACCGUAGCUAAUACCGGAUAAUAUUUUGAACCGCAUGGUUCAAAAGUGAAAGACGGUCUUGCUGUCACUUAUAGAUGGAUCCGCGCUGCAUUAGCUAGUUGGUAAGGUAACGGCUUACCAAGGCAACGAUGCAUAGCCGACCUGAGAGGGUGAUCGGCCACACUGGAACUGAGACACGGUCCAGACUCCUACGGGAGGCAGCAGUAGGGAAUCUUCCGCAAUGGGCGAAAGCCUGACGGAGCAACGCCGCGUGAGUGAUGAAGGUCUUCGGAUCGUAAAACUCUGUUAUUAGGGAAGAACAUAAGUGUAAGUAACUGUGCACAUCUGGACGGUACCUAAUCAGAAAGCCACGGCGAACUACGU